GAUGAACGCUGACAGAAUGCUUAACACAUGCAAGUCAACUUGAACUUCGGUUUGGGUGGCGGACGGGUGAGUAACGCGUAAAGAACUUGCCUCACAGAUAGGGACAACAUUUGGAAACGAAUGCUAAUACCUGAUAUUAUGAUUAUAUGGCAUCGUAUAAUUAUGAAAGCUAUAUGCGCUGUGAGAGAGCUUUGCGUCCCAUUAGCUAGUUGGAGCGGUAACGGCUCACCAAGGCGAUGAUGGGUAGCCGGCCUGAGAGGGUGAUCGGCCACAAGGGGACUGAGACACGGCCCUUACUCCUACGGGAGGAAGAAGUGGGGAAUAUUGGACAAUGGACCAAGAGUCUGAUCCAGCAAUUCUGUGUGCACGAUGAAGUUUUUCGGAAUGUAAAGUGCUUUCAGUUGGGAAGAAAAAAAUGACGGUACCAACAGAAGAAGUGACGGCUAAAUACGUG
rnacentral:rRNA from 1 species